AUAUGCCUUACCAAGUCACAGAUUCACAGAAUGGUUGAGGUUGGAAGGGACUUCUGGAGUUCAUCUAGUCCGAGGUUUCUUUCUGCCGAAGACUUGGUAUAUGCUUGGGCAAGGCUUCAGUAAGCAGCAACCAAAGGAGCAGGCAAAGGAUGAGCUAAGCUGAGCUGAUAUUAUGAUCCUUGAUCUUCAGGAGGGAAAUGACUCACACUAACUGGAGUGAAAAGAGAGCUUCUGGCUGACUGCCUUCAGUAUGAGAGAAAAGUGAGUUCCGGAUCUCAACAACUCUUAUUUCUUCUAUAA
rnacentral:lncRNA from 1 species